GCUCGAUUUCUUAAAUCUGAGCAUUUAGGGAGCUUUUGGUUGGUUUGAUUCGUGCAAUGACAUGUGUUGAUGCUACUCCAUGAGUGAAUUUGAUUGAAUCAACACGAGCAUGAAGAAUCGAACCAAUUUCGUUUUGGUGAGAAAAACUACAUUCUUGCUCGUGAUCUAAAAUUCCCUGAGUUUGAGUUCGAAUUGAGACAUGACUCUUUCGGGAUAGCUUACCAACUCCAUGGAGAUCACCUGUGCAAAGUUUGGGAGCGAUUCCUUUUGAUUUGGUCAAGUUUCAGGCGUUUUCCUCUUUAUUUAUCAUGUCGUCCUUCUCUUCGAGGCUGCGGCAGCGGGUUUCAGGAGGAGGGUCGACGGGGAUCAAGGAGCAGGUGCUCACCAGGCAGCGCCAGCAGGUGCUCACCAAGCAGGCUGUGGCGGCUAAGAUGGUGGUUGCUGUGCUCAUCUCUGAAAUCUCAGUUUUGGUUCUUGGAAGCUUUCUUGCAGCAGUGAACAAAUUCAUUGCUGAUCGUUAUUCAUGGAAUUACACAGUAUCCGAAUACCAUGUGUAUGAGUUCUUUAGGGUUAGCAUACGCUCCCAUUUGAGUUGUCGGCAAGGAUAUAGGCUGGGGUUGGCGGUAUGGUGUUAAUUUGGGCCCAUUUGAGUUUGGAGAUUCUGCUUGCUUGUGCUCUCCUUGGCAUUAAGUGUAAUCGAUCUUUUAGCUGCCAUGUUUUCAGGUUAUGGUCUUAUGUAUCUCACCCUUUCCUUUUUUCAGGUUAUGGUAUGGAUCUCUACAUACGACUAAAGCUUGCGGAGGGUAUGCAGCCACAGCCUAGCUAGGCCGAUGGCCUAUUGCCGGUGGCUGGGGACUGAACGGAUCAUUUUUGCCGCCACUUCCCACAAGAAUGGCUCGACAAUCUCUGCAGCUGAAGGCCAGCUUACAGUCAACGUCUGCAAACCAACUUUCUCUGCAAACCAUUUUGAUUGCUGUAAUCAGAAGAGGUUUUGGUUACUAUAGUUUGAGUCUGUCACACAAUUGUGGUUGAUUACUAUAUUCUUAGAUCAUAAUUCAGGAUGCAUCUCAGGCAAACAUAUGUGCUAUGCCUACCAUUAGAAUUGCAAAUCAAAGUGGUAUUGUGAAUUUGGUAACAUAUUACUUUUUUCUGAUUACUGAGAAAAUGCCUUAUGGCAAAUGACAUGUUUCUUUGGUGGGAUUAGCCAUGAAUUCAGUUCCUGCCAUUUCUUUGUUGGUGAAUUUGGCGCUUUUAUGUGAAGCAUGGUUCUGUGGCAGGUUGGCACAAUUGCUCGCCCUGAAGUGGCUGGCCGCAAUGCUGGUCACAUCACGGCAAGAGAGGUUCCUCUAUGAGCUUGGUGUACAUGCUGUGCUGAAAUUGAUGUCGAGCCUCCACAUAGCAAUUCAGGACAAGAUGUGAGCAGAGCAAACCAUGGUUGUAUUCAAUCCUUUCUAUCUCAUGUUUUCCGGUGUGCCUUGAAAUCAUGUCACUAGCAGAAGCCAUGUUCUUGACUGAUCUGGAGCUGAAUACAGUAUCUCUUUUCACUUCUUUGAUGUCUUUCUCUGUGAGUUGUUGUAUGACAUUUUUCCCCCAUCCGUUUCAUGCUGAUUUUUGUUAUUUUACAGGUUGACUUCGUACCAAACCUUGAUAACUCACAGAAGGAGCCAUCUCUGCUGCCAGCUUGUAUUUCAUCUCUAUUGUUGAAUGAUUCUUCUGGGAUUGCGGUCGGAAUGGCAACAAACAUUCCUCCUCAUAAUCUGGGGAGCUUGUUGAUGCACUUUCUGUUAUAAUUCAAAACCCUGAAGCCACAUUUUGUGAUACCAGCUUCUUCAGAAACAUCCAGCUUCUCAAUAUGGACAUUCAAUUUCAGGAAGGAAAUCUCCAUCCCGGAGAUGUUCAAGAGCACGUGUAUGACAAUGUCUUAAAUUCUUAUAUUCACCUAUAUCUAGAUGAUGAUGAAGGAACAUUCCACUACAUGGACCUGCAAUUCUUUGUAAGCACAUAGAGUCGUUCGAUAUACAUUCUUUUCUUGGACAUAUCAUAUUGCUCUCACUUGAUAUGGAAUCUCGAACUGUAUCUAUAUUGGACCCAAUGCCCAUACCUCACAAUUUUAAGUUGUGAUUUUACUCUAUGGAUGUGUUUGUGUAAUCAACAUAAUAACUUUGUCCUUUGUGUGAAACAUAUAUUUCUCA